GGGUUGUGAGGUUAAGCGACUAAGCGUACACGGUGGAUGCCCUGGCAGUCAGAGGCGAUGAAGGACGUGCUAAUCUGCGAUAAGCGUCGGUAAGGUGAUAUGAACCGUUAUAACCGGCGAUUUCCGAAUGGGGAAACCCAGUGUGUUUCGACACACUAUCAUUAACUGAAUCCAUAGGUUAAUGAGGCGAACCGGGGGAACUGAAACAUCUAAGUACCCCGAGGAAAAGAAAUCAACCGAGAUUCCCCCAGUAGCGGCGAGCGAACGGGGAGCAGCCCAGAGUCUGAAUCAGUGUGUGUGUUAGUGGAAGCGUCUGGAAAGGCGCGCGAUACAGGGUGACAGCCCCGUACACAAAAAUGCACAUGCUGUGAGCUCGAUGAGUAGGGCGGGACACGUGGUAUCCUGUCUGAAUAUGGGGGGACCAUCCUCCAAGGCUAAAUACUCCUGACUGACCGAUAGUGAACCAGUACCGUGAGGGAAAGGCGAAAAGAACCCCGGCGAGGGGAGUGAAAAAGAACCUGAAACCGUGUACGUACAAGCAGUGGGAGCACGCUUAGGCGUGUGACUGCGUACCUUUUGUAUAAUGGGUCAGCGACUUAUAUUCUGUAGCAAGGUUAACCGAAUAGGGGAGCCGAAGGGAAACCGAGUCUUAACUGGGCGUUAAGUUGCAGGGUAUAGACCCGAAACCCGGUGAUCUAGCCAUGGGCAGGUUGAAGGUUGGGUAACACUAACUGGAGGACCGAACCGACUAAUGUUGAAAAAUUAGCGGAUGACUUGUGGCUGGGGGUGAAAGGCCAAUCAAACCGGGAGAUAGCUGGUUCUCCCCGAAAGCUAUUUAGGUAGCGCCUCGUGAAUUCAUCUCCGGGGGUAGAGCACUGUUUCGGCAAGGGGGUCAUCCCGACUUACCAACCCGAUGCAAACUGCGAAUACCGGAGAAUGUUAUCACGGGAGACACACGGCGGGUGCUAACGUCCGUCGUGAAGAGGGAAACAACCCAGACCGCCAGCUAAGGUCCCAAAGUCAUGGUUAAGUGGGAAACGAUGUGGGAAGGCCCAGACAGCCAGGAUGUUGGCUUAGAAGCAGCCAUCAUUUAAAGAAAGCGUAAUAGCUCACUGGUCGAGUCGGCCUGCGCGGAAGAUGUAACGGGGCUAAACCAUG
rnacentral:rRNA from 1 species